ensembl:lncRNA
CACAUACACAUGUUUAGCAGAUGUUAUUGGUCACAUACACGUUUAGCAGAUGUUAUUGGUCACAUACACAUGUUUAGCAGAUGUUAUUGGUCACAUACACAUGUUUAGCAGAUGUUAUUGCGGGUGUAGCGAAAUGCUUGUGUUUCUAGCUCCAACAGUGCAGUAAUAUCUGACUAAAUGCGUAUGUUACUAGUGCCAACAGUGCAGUAACAUCUAACAAUUCACAACAAUACACACAUCUAAAAGUAAAAUUAUAGAAUUAAGAAAUAUAUACACAUUAGAUUGAGCAAUGUCAGAGUGGCAUUGAUUCAAAUACAGUAGAAUAGAAUACAGUAUAUACAUAUGAGAUGAGUAAAGCACUAUGUAAACAUUAUUUAAACCUUAGUAAAGUGACCAGUGAUUCCUUGUCUAUGUAUAUAGGGCAACAGCCACUAAGGUGCAGGGUUAUGUAACCGGCUAGUGAUGGCUAUUUAACAGUCUGAUGGCCUUGAGAUGGUCUUUCACUGUUCAGAAGGCUUUCUUUGUGGUAAAUGAGAAGCACAUUGCCAGAUAACAGACAAGGUCAUGCGGAAAGAGUUCCACCCACAUGCAGUUAUAUUUUAAUUCAAGGGUGGCUCUUCCUAGAGACCUAUACCCUCCUGCAGGGUUAUGUUCCAGUCCUACUCAGAACACACCUGAUUCUAUUAAUCAGCUCCUCCUCAGGAUAUUGGGUAUAGGGCUGGAGCCAAAGCCUGCACGCCCAGUAGCUCUCCAAUAUGACGGAUGGCCAACCCUGUUCUAAUUUCCCCUGUUUGUGUGAAUAAAUCAUAUGCUCUGUGCUGCAUCUCAAUCCACCACACCCCAUGUGCCGCACUACAGAUCCUGGAUCUGAUUCCAGGCUGUAUCACAGCGGUCUAAGGCACUGCAUCUCAGUGCUAGAGGUGUCACUACAGAUCCUGGAUCUGAUUCCAGGCUGUAUCACAGCGGUCUAAGGCACUGCAUCUCAGUGCUAGAGGUGUCACUACAGAUCCUGGAUCUGAUUCCAGGCUGUAUGACAGCGGUCUAAGGCACUGCAACUCAGUGCUAGAGGUGUCACUACAGAUCCUGGAUCUGAUUCCAGGCUGUAUCACAGCGGUCUAAGGCACUGCAUCUCAGUGCUAGAGGUGUCACUACAGAUCCUGGAUCUGAUUCCAGGCUGUAUCACAGCGGUCUAAGGCACUGCAUCUCAGUGCUAGAGGUGUCACUACAGAUCCUGGAUCUGAUUCCAGUCUGUAUCACAGCCGGCCGUGAUUGGGAGUCCCCAUUGGGCGCCGCGUCGUCCGGGUUAGUGUUUGGCCCGGGGGUAGGCCGUCAUCGUAAAUAAGAAUUUGUUCUUAACUGACUUGCGUAGUUAAAAGUUAAAUAAAUAAAAUAGAAAAUACAAAGGAUUGGAAAGGGAGGGAGUAAAUACUCCUAGACUCAUGUUACUGAUUUAGGACUGUCUAUCCGGAAAAUAUUGUAUUUGCUUGAGUAAUCUCCUACCUUGAGUGAUAUUCUUACUGACCCCCACUAAUGCAUGACCUAGACUAAAACAAGCUCGGACUAAACUAAGCCAACACUGAAAUAAAAUCAACAGAAAUAUGACGUUACUUUUACAAAGGUGCUGUAUAAUAUACAGUAUACAUUUAAAAUAAUUUGUUUUGUAUUUUGUUCAGAUCGUAUGAUUACAAAAGUAUGUAUACAAUUUUAAAUAAAUGAAAUAUUAAAGACACAACACCGUCAUGGUUUUCUGGGUGCUUUGUUUGUGUGGUUUAAGAUAUACACUGCCUUUCAAAAGUUUGGGGUCACUUAGAAAUGUUGUUUUUGAAAGAAAAGCUAUUUUUCUUGUCCAUUGAAAUAACAUGAAAUUGAUCAGCAAUACAGGGUAGACAUUGUUAAUGUUGUAAAUGAUUAUUGUAGCUGGAAACGGCUGAUAUUUAAUGGAAUAUCUACAUAGGUUGACAGAGGCCCCAUUGUCAGCAACCAUCACUCCUGUGUUCCAAUGGCACGUUGUGUUAGCUAAUCCAAGUUUAUCAUUUAAAAAGGCUAAUUGAUCAUUAGAAAACCCUUUUGCAAUUAUGUUAGCACAGCUGAAAACUGUUGUUCUGAUUAAAGAAGCAAUAAAAUGGGCCUUCUUUAGACUAGUUGAGUAUCUGGAGCAUCAGCAUUUGUGGGUUCGAUUACAGGCUCAAAAUGGCCAGAAACAAAGAACUUUCUUCUGAAACUCGUCAGUCUAUUCUUGUUCUGAGAAAUGAAGGCUAUUCCAUGCGAGAAAUUACCAAGAAACUGAAGAUCUCAUACAACGCUGUGUACUUCUCCCUUCACAGAACAGCACAAAUUGUCUCUAACCAGAAUAGAAAGAGGAGUGUGAGGCCCCGGGGCACAACUGAGCCGGAAACAGACGCCUCAAGUCAAGUUAAAUAAAGGUAAAAUAAAUUUGAGAGGGAAGCCUUUACCUUUAUUUAACUAUGCAAGUGGGUUAAGAACAAAUUCUUAUUUUCAAUGACGGCCUAGGAACAAUG